AAAAGGUAAGCUUUGGACCUCUUUGGCAACCUCAUUCAUGAUAACCGGAGGUUAAGACCUGUAUUAGGCUAUUUUGCGCUUGUGAACCAGUAUGGCAUCUAAGUUUUUACGUGCUAAUGGAAUUACUAUUUUCAAAUAAUGAGAGGAAACUGCCAAUUUACUUGGAAAAUCGGACGUACUGUUUCAGUCCUAAGCAUCGACCCUUGACUGAACUAGUUCGGAGGACAUCCAAUUGGGCUCUAGAUGUGAAAGAUAAAAUCAGUUUAUUUUGAAACUAUUUUCUCCUCACAUUCUUGUGCUGAUUGUAGCUUUAAUAGCUUUAAGGACAUGAUUUCUCAAGUUUGUUUGCUUGGAGGAAAUGAAUUUGGCAUCUUGAGUUUUGUUUGCUUGGAGGAUUGAAUUUGACAUUUUGGGUUUUGUUUUUAGGAGAAUUUUAAGGAUGCUUGUAUGAUAAAGAUGGGACUUUUGUGAUUUAGUGGGGUGAGAUUUCAUGUUUC